rnacentral:misc_RNA from 1 species
GAUGAAGAACGCAGCGAAAUGCGAUAAGUAAUGCGAAUUGCAGAAUUUCCGUGAGUCAUCGAAUCUUUGAACGCACAUUGCGCCCUUUGGUAUUCCUUAGGGCAUGCCUGUUCGAGCGUCAUUUCAACCUUCAAGCACAGCUUGGUGAUGGGUGAUUGCCCCGCCCCCGGGCGCGGGCUCGCCUCAAAAGCAUUGGCAGCCGGUACGUUGGCUUCGAGCGCAGCACAUUCGCGUCUCGUGCCUGGCGGACCGCCUCUCCAGCAAGCGAAAACUCAAUUUUGACCUCGGAUCAGGUAGGGAUACCCGCUGAACUUAAGCAUAUCAAUAAGCGGAGGA